GAACCCGUCAGCUAAUGGAAAGGCUAAUCGGCUUCGGACCGGUCAAUGGGGGUUCAAUUCCCUCCGGGUUCA
rnacentral:tRNA from 1 species